rnacentral:pre_miRNA from 1 species
GGAAGAGAUGUCAAACAUGAAAAAAGGAGCUUAGUUUGGUAGCCAAGGAUGACUUGCCUGCAGCCUUCUAAAGAGGGUAAUCAAUCAAAAUCUGAAAACCCCUAGUUUGGUCCUCAGGCAAGCACCUUGGCUAACUCGACAAGUUCUUUUAUUUCAUGCUAGACUCUCUCUUCC